rnacentral:rRNA from 1 species
GACGUAGGUGGCAAACGUUACUCCGGAAUUAUUGGGCGUAAAGGGCGCGUAGGCGGCCUGGCAAGUGGAAGGUGAAAUCCCUCGGCUUAACCGAGGAACUGCCCUCCAAACUGCUUGGCUUGAGUCCGGGAGAGGUGAGUGGAAUUCCCAGUGUAGCGGUGAAAUGCGUAGAUAUUGGGAGGAACACCAGUGGCGAAGGCGGCUCACUGGACCGGAACUGACGCUGAGGCGCGAAAGCGUGGGGAGCAAACGGG